rnacentral:rRNA from 1 species
AUUGAACGCUGGCGGCAGGCCUAACACAUGCAAGUCGAACGAGUGGCGGACGGGUGAGUAAUGUCUGGGAAACUGCCCGAUGGAGGGGGAUAACUACUGGAAACGGUAGCUAAUACCGCAUACCAUCGGAUGUGCCCAGAUGGGAUUAGCUAGUAGGUGGGGUAACGGCUCACCUAGGCGACGAUCCCUAGCUGGUCUGAGAGGAUGACCAGCCACCCUGGACCUGAGCCACGGGCCAGACCCCGACGGGAGGCAGCAGUGGGGAACAUUGCACAAUGGGCGCAAGCCGGAUGCAGCCAUGCCGCGUGUAUGAAGAAGGCCUUCGGGUUGUAAAGUACUUUCAGCGAGGAGGCGUUACUCGCAGAAGAAGCACCGGCUAACUCCGUGCCAGCAGCCGCGGUAAUAC